UGGGGAAUAUUGCACAAUGGGCGCAAGCCUGAUGCAGCCAUGCCGCGUGUGUGAAGAAGGCCUUCGGGUUGUAAAGCAUUUUCAGCGGGGAGGAAGGCGGUGAGGUUAAUAACCUCAUCGAUUGACGUUACCCGCAGAAGAAGCACCGGCUAACUCCGUGCCAGCAGCCGCGGUAAUACGGAGGGUGCAAGCGUUAAUCGGAAUUACUGGGCGUAAAGCGCACGCAGGCGGUCUGUCAAGUCGGAUGUGAAAUCCCCGGGCUCAACCUGGGAACUGCAUUCGAAAAUAGCAGGCUAGAAGCUUGUAGAAGGGGGUAGAAUACCAGGUGUAGCGGUGGAAUGCGUAGGGAUCUGGAGGAAUACCGGUGGCGGAGGCGGCCCCCUGGACAAAGACUGACGCUCAGGUGCGAAAGCGUGGGGAGCAAACAGG
rnacentral:rRNA from 1 species